CGUAGGGGGCAAGCGUUGUCCGGAAUCAUUGGGCGUAAAGCGCGUGUAGGCGGUCCGGUAAGUCGGUUGUGAAAGUCCAGGGCUCAACCCUGGGAUGCCGACCGAUACUGUCGGACUAGAGUUCGGAAGAGGCGAGUGGAAUUCCCGGUGUAGCGGUGAAAUGCGCAGAUAUCGGGAGGAACACCAAUGGCGAAGGCAGCUCGCUGGGACGUUACUGACGCUGAGACGCGAAAGCGUGGGGAGCAAACAGGAUUAGAUACCCUGGUAGUCCACGCCGUAAACGAUGGGCACUAGGUGUGGCGGGUGUCGACUCCCGCCGUGCCGGAGCUAACGCAUUAAGUGCCCCGCCUGGGGAGUACGGCCGCAAGGCUA
rnacentral:rRNA from 1 species